GGCGGUGAGAUGGCUGUCGCCAAGGCAGUCAACAACAACAACGAAGACCAAGGCGGUGAGAUGGCUGUCGCCAAGGCAGUCAACAACAACAACGAAGACCAAGGCGGUGAGAUGGCUGUCGCCAAGGCAGUCAACAACAACGAAGAACACGGCGAAGAAGAAGAUGAAGACGUUUACGGCGACGAACUUAAGCUUGUCGAGACGAUUGAUCGUGAUGGCAUUCAACUCGAAGGAAACGGCGUUCAACCAAACCCUUCAACUUUUAGCGUGCUACGAAGUGAGUUGGGUGGCAACGCUGCGGGCAUGGAACAGGCGAUGCAAAAUUUACAUUUCGAAAAUGCUGACCGUCUUUUAAAGCCAGAAAUGAAUUUAAACACCGUCAAAGAGCUCCUCCCAGAAUACAACGGCAGUGGCAACAUAAACGAAUGGUUGUUGAUGGUUAAAAAUGUUCGAAAUGUGUUCAAAGUCAGUGAUGACGUCAUGCGUCCAUUAAUUUGCUCGCGUUUAAAGGGCAAGGCUAAUUUUUGGCUGUUAUCUCGCCCAUCACUGUUGUCUGGAAGUAUUGACCUGAUUUUGGCACAAUUAAAAAUUGUUUUUGGAACCAAGGAUAACGUAUUGGAAAUGCGACGCAAGUUUGAAAACCGCAAGUGGCAGUUCGGCCGUUUACUAUUUUGACAAGCUUACUCUGGCACAAGACGUCGCUAUGACUGUUCACGAACUAGUUCAGUAUUUGAUAGAUGGCAUACAAAAUGUACAACUUAAAAACCAAGCGAAGUUACUACGUUUUGCAGUGCCUGCUGAUGUGUUGGAAGCCUUUCAAGAUGUAGAGAAACCCAAAGCUCCAGUACAACAAGGUAGGAUGCAAGGUACGUCUUUACCAAACGCCGUGACCCCGGAACAGAGGGUCAUCAAAUGCUUUAACUGUCACAGUUUUGGUCAUCAGGCUAAGGAAUGUCGCAAGCCUGUGGAGAAGUUGGACACUUGGCUAGAGAGUGUUCAUUGUACAAGAAGAAAGAGAAUAACAACGAAUAUAGUGCCUCAUAGAUUCGGGAAGUCCCGUUUCGUUUCUAAAGAAAUCCGCAGUUCCCAGUAACGUAAUCAUUG